UAUAAAGGUUCCUACGAGUAUAGAGGAACGGAAUUUGAUAGAGCGGUCAGUUACACGUCUGUUGGACAUGGUGCGUUUUAGGUUGGAGGACAUCUCCAGUGGCAGUGAAAACCGGUUCUCGGCAUCGAUCCUUCAAAAUGUUGUGCAGCUUGUUCAAUCGGAUUGCCCGCAUCUCCGGGGGUGCUUCAUUGUCAUGAACAAUAAUGUUUGGUGCCGAUUAGAAUGUGUGGGGGAUGGCCUUGGGCCACGUGUAAUACUACAGGAGAAUACUUCGGGUCCUUUGCUUGAGGGUUUGCUUGCGCAGAACUUACCUCUUUGGGAUAUGCAUAAGGGGAAAUUAGUAGAGGCGGACAAGGGAGAUAUCUUCACCGGGAGUUUCUUGGCUAUCCUGAGGGU
rnacentral:misc_RNA from 1 species